CCUACGGGUGGCAGCAGUGAGGAAUAUUGGUCAAUGGGCGGGAGCCUGAACCAGCCAAGCCGCGUGAGGGAAGAAGGUACAGCGUAUCGUAAACCUCUUUUGUCAGGGAACAAAGGCGGGGACUAGUCCCCGGAUGAGGGUACCUGAAGAAGAAGCAUCGGCUAACUCCGUGCCAGCAGCCGCGGUAAUACGGGGGAUGCGAGCGUUAUCCGGUUUUAUUGGGGUUAAAGGGUGCGCGGCGGGACUGUUAAGUCAGCGGUAAAAGCCCGGGGCUCAACCCCGGCGAGCCGUUGAAACUGGCGGGCUUGAGUUGGAGAGAGGUAGGCGGAAUGCGCGGUGUAGCGGUGAAAUGCUUAGAUAUCGCGCAGAACACCGAUUGCGAAGGCAGCGUACCGGCUCCACACUGACGCUGAGGCACGAAAGCGUGGGUAUCGAACAGGAUUAGAUACCCUAGUAGUC
rnacentral:rRNA from 1 species